rnacentral:misc_RNA from 1 species
GCUUCCUGCAUAAUCUCUCGAAUACGGUAUUCGACAUCGACGGCCAGAGCAGGCAAGACAUCUGGUGAUAAAUUGCUUACACCUAUACUUUGUGAUAUCACUUCUAUUGUCUCUUUCGGUACUAUACUCAUCUUUCUACUAGCUCCGGUUACUCUAGGUUAAAUCCAGCUGCGAACCCAGAAAUUCGUCUAUCUCGGUCAGUUUUUCAGGCGAAGAUUACUUCUAGCACAGCUACGUAUGAGGAACUCUGAAGCGGUGAACGGCGGCGGAGCGGCGAUGGAAUGGA